ACCAUGAACAAGCUAAUGCCAUGACUACCUUAAGAAGUGGACGCGUAGUGGACAAUAAGGUUGGAGAAAAGGAACAUAAAGAAAAUGAAGACAAGAGUAUGACUGUGCUUAAAGAGAACCCAAACUCGUCUUUGUCGCCAUCUAGUCCAGUAUCGACCACACCAUUUACACCGAAGGCUCCUUUCCCUCAGUGUCUGAAUACACCUUCUUCCUUUGGCA
rnacentral:lncRNA from 1 species